ensembl:lncRNA
AUGAUAAUGAGUUGGAAAGAGGACACUGAGGCAGAUAUUGUCCAAAACAACAUGGAUUCACAGGAGGACACAGCAGACCUGGGAAGAGAGAGUGCAACUGAGGAUACUGAUCUAAAUAACAUUGUCCCAGAGGAUACCAGAGUGAACCUGGAAGGAACUGAAACGAGUGAGAAUGCACCAUUGGGAGAUGCUGGUCCAGAUGUUUACAGGACAGCACAAAAGGCAAAAUACAAAUUCAAACUGAAAACCAAGCCUGAAAGAAUGUGCAAAAUGGUAAAGACGCUGGUCAGUCAACAUGGACAAAUAAAACACAGAGUGGGUGAGAAAAGGUUUAGGCCUGCAACAAACCUCAAAAGAGGAGCACUUGCAAGAGCAAUUACACGUGGACCUAGUCAUUAUUUCUACUCAACACUCAAAACCACACCCAAAGAAGAACUUUUGUGUGGAAAUAUGUCCAGCUGCCUCAACAGGAAUGUGCUGAAGGUAAUCCGCUCAGAAAUUAGGAAGAACAAACUACUCCACACUGAUGUGUUAAUGGAAAUACAUCUCAUGCAAGGAAUACUAAGAGGAUGUGACACCAGAUUUUUUAAGUUACCAGGAUACAUACAACAUUUUAGCAUGGACCCCUUUGGUGUUCAUAUGUACACUGAGCUUGGAAUCAGUAUUCUUGUAGACCAUUUACGCAGUAGGCUUCCUGUGUCCCUUUAUCUGGAUGCUACUGGAGGAGUGGUCUCAAAAAUUACAGAUCAGCCAAAGCAAAUCCUGUACUACUCACUCACACUUCCAGGAAGGGGUCGGGAUGCUCCCCCUCUACCAAUCUGUGAAAUGCUAUCAAAUGAGCAUUCGGUACCUCCAAUCACAUAUUGGCUCAUGCAAUUUACAUUGCAUUUGUCCAAAUACACACAAAUGCACAUACACCAGAUUGAGACUGACUAUAGCUGGGCUCUCAUGCAAAGUGUUCUGUUAGCUUUCAACAGAGAGAACAUCACUACUUACCUAGAAAGGGCUUUUGAUAUUUGCACAGGCAAAAAAGCUCAGGAUGACAUGAAGCCUUACACUGUGCUGCACAUAUGUUCUGCUCACAUCCUCAAAGCAGUCAGACAGGCAAUAUCAAAGAAAACUGACGACCAAGGUCUGAGAGACUUUGUCACGUUUGCCUUUGCAAGACUGCAGAAUGCCUGUUCACUAGAAGAAACAAAAUGUAUCUUUAGUGCACUGUGUUCUGUACUGACCACUCCGAAAAGCAGUGAAAAUCUCAAGGCAAGCCUGCAAAUUCUUGAAAGUGCAAUUGUUAAACCCCAAGAAGGCAAGCUUGAUGAAGUGAUGGAAAUUGGAGACUGGGAAAAAUGGGGCUGUGAAGACCGAAACGAUGCUACUACAAUUGUGGGUAGUUCACCCUUCACACUGUAUUUCAGACGGAUCUUUGAAGAAGCCAAGGAACAAGCAGCAAGUGAAACCUCUUUCUCUAAGGACAACAAUCCAUACUUUUGUCCAGGUAUCAUCGACAUGCUCUUUGACCACUAUCUUGCCAUUUUUCCUAUGUGGAGUGGUUUGCUGUUGAGACAUCUAGAAUGUGCUCCACAUGAAGGACAGAAGGACAUAAAAACAAAAUCAUACAAAACAAGAGACACUAAUUGCCAUGUGGAAAGGUGGUUUGGAAUUGUAAAACAUACCAUCAUGAAUUCGAAGAAAAAGCUCAGACCAGGAACUUUCAUUAGAAAAAUGCAUUGCUCCCUGCAGUCAAGAUACACUGAACACAUCAUUCAGCACAACCUCUCUGAAGAUCUUUUGCAAAAGCCUCGGCCACCAAUGGACAUCAGUCACUCACAGGAAAAAUGGAUGAAGAGAAGGAAAACGCAAUUAUCAGGGAAAAAAUCCAAAUACUUUUCAGCACCACACAACAUACCAGUUCCACAUAAAAAACAAACGACCCAGAUGUGUGGAAAGGACCUGGCAAAGAGCCAGGCAACAGGUUCAAAUCUGGACCAGCAUAAUCUACCUGCAGAGAUCCUGUCUGUAGAAGAUGAGGUAAUACUGUCAUUAAUGUAA